AGCAGCCGCGGUAAUUCCAGCUCCAAUAGCGUAUAUUAAAGUUGCUGCAGUUAAAAAGCUCGUAGUUGAAUUUCGGGACUAAUAUGUCGGUCGUGCCUCGGUACGUACUGGCUUAUUGGUUUCUCCUUUCUGAAGAACCAUGAUGUCAUUUAUUUGGUGUCGUGGGGAAUCAGGACUGUUACUUUGAAAAAAUUAGAGUGUUUAAAGCAGGCUCACGCUUGAAUACAUUAGCAUGGAAUAAUGAAAUAGGACGUUUGAUUCUAUUUUGUUGGUUUCUAGGAUCGACGUAAUGAUUAAUAGGGAUAGUUGGGGGCAUUAGUAUUCAAUUGUCAGAGGUGAAAUUCUUGGAUUUAUUGAAGACUAACUACUGCGAAAGCAUUUGCCAAGGAUGUUUUCAUUAAUCAAGAACGAAAGUUAGGGGAUCGAAGACGAUCAGAUACCGUCGUAGUCUUAACCAUAAACUAUGCCGACUAGGGAUCGGAUGAUGUUAAUUUUUAAUGUA
rnacentral:misc_RNA from 1 species